rnacentral:rRNA from 1 species
AUCUGCCUUCGCAUAGUGGGAUCAGCGUGUGAGAGCGACUGCUAAUACCCCAUAUGUCUACGGAUAAAAUGGUUAAUUCCGCCUGAAGAUGAGCUCGCGUCGGAUUAGCUAGUUGGUGGGGUAAGAGCUUACCAAGGCGACGAUCCGUAGCUGGUCUGAGAGGAUGAUCAGCCACACUGGGACUGAGACACGGCCCAGACUCCUACGGGAGGCAGCAGUGGGGAAUUUUCCGCAAUGGGCGCAAGCCUGACGGAGCAACGCCGCGUGCGGGAGGACGGCCUGUGGGUUGUAAACCGCUUUUCUCAGGGAAGAAGAUCUGACGGUACCUGAGGAAUCAGCAUCGGCUAACUCCGUGCCAGCAGCCGCGGUAAUACGGAGGAUGCAAGCGUUAUCCGGAAUUAUUGGGCGUAAAGCGUCCGCAGGCGGUUCAUCAAGUCUGCUGUUAAAGGCCCGAGGCUUAACUUCGGUUGAGCAGUGGAAACUGAUGAAAUAAAGUGCGAUAGGGGUAGGGGGGAAUUCCCAGUGUAGCGGUGAAAUGCGUAGAUAUUGGGAAGAACACCAGUGGGCGAAGGCGCUCUACUGGGUCGCAACUCAUACUAUUGGACGAAAGCUAGGGGAGCGAA